CCUACGGGCGGCAGCAGUCGAGAAUCAUUCACAAUGGGGGAAACCCUGAUGGUGCGCCGCCGCGUGGGGGAAUGAAGGUCUUCGGAUUGUAAACCCCUGUCAUGUGGGAGCAAAUUAAAAAGAUAGUACCACAAGAGGAAGAGACGGCUAACUCUGUGCCAGCAGCCGCGGUAAUACAGAGGUCUCAAGCGUUGUUCGGAAUCACUGGGCGUAAAGCGUGCGUAGGCUGUUUCGUAAGUCGUGUGUGAAAGGCGCGGGCUCAACCCGCGGACGGCACAUGAUACUGGGAGACUAGAGUAAUGGAGGGGGAAGCGGAAUUCUCGGUGUAGCAGUGAAAUGCGGAGAUAUCGAGAGGAACACUCGUGGCGAAGGCGGGUUCCUGGACAUUAACUGACGCUGAGGCACGAAGGCCAGGGGAGCGAAAGGGAUUAGAUACCCGGGUAGUC
rnacentral:rRNA from 1 species